rnacentral:rRNA from 1 species
UACGUAGGGUGCGAGCGUUAAUCGGAAUUACUGGGCGUAAAGCGUGCGCAGGCGGUUUUGUAAGUCAGAUGUGAAAUCCCCGGGCUUAACCUGGGAACUGCAUUUGUGACUGGCGGGCUAGAGUAUGGCAGAGGGGGGUAGAAUUCCACGUGUAGCAGUGAAAUGCGUAGAGAUGUGGAGGAAUACCGAUGGCGAAGGCAGCCCCCUGGGCCAAUACUGACGCUCAUGCACGAAAGCGUGGGGAGCAAACAGG